rnacentral:rRNA from 1 species
ACAGGUCUUCGGAUGCUGACGAGUGGCGAACGGGUGAGUAAUACAUCGGAACGUGCCCGAUCGUGGGGGAUAACGAAGCGAAAGCUUUGCUAAUACCGCAUACGAUCUACGGAUGAAAGCAGGGACCGCAAGGCCUUGCGCGAACGGAGCGGCCGAUGGCAGAUUAGGUAGUUGGUGGGAUAAAAGCUUACCAAGCCGACGAUCUGUAGCUGGUCUGAGAGGACGACCAGCCACACUGGGACUGAGACACGGCCCAGACUCCUACGGGGGGCAGCAGUGGGGAAUUUUGGACAAUGGGCGAAAGCCUGAUCCAGCCAUGCCGCGUGCAGGAUGAAGGCCUUCGGGUUGUAAACUGCUUUUGUACGGAACGAAAAGACUCUGGUUAAUACCUGGGGUCCAUGACGGUACCGUAAGAAUAAGCACCGGCUAACUACGUGCCAGCAGCCGCGGUAAUACGUAGGGUGCAAGCGUUAAUCGGAAUUACUGGGCGUAAAGCGUGCGCAGGCGGUUAUAUAAGACAGAUGUGAAAUCCCCGGGCUCAACCUGGGAACUGCAUUUGUGACUGUAUAGCUAGAGUACGGCAGAGGGGGAUGGAAUUCCGCGUGUAGCAGUGAAAUGCGUAGAUAUGCGGAGGAACACCGAUGGCGAAGGCAAUCCCCUGGGCCUGUACUGACGCUCAUGCACGAAAGCGUGGGGAGCAAACAGGAUUAGAUACCUGGUAGUCCACGCCCUAAACGAUGUCAACUGGUUGUUGGGUCUUUACUGACUCAGUAACG